rnacentral:tRNA from 3 species
UGGGGAGUGGUGUAAUCGGCUGGCACGCCAGGUUUUGGUCCUGGAAGACGGGGUUCAAAUCCUCGCUCCCCAG